rnacentral:tRNA from 1 species
GGGCCCGUAGUUAAGUGGUAUAACAGAGCUCUCCAAAAGCUCAAUCGGGGGUUCAAUUCCCUCCGGGCCUGCCA